CGAAGCGCCUCCACAAACAAAGGGGAGCCAACAGGUUCAAAGGCAAUGCAUCACUCCGCCUCUGACUCGUCAUUAUUCAUCCCUCUGUCUUUACCUCUCAUCCCCCCAUUCUUCUCUGCCCUCGCGUGUGUACGUGUGUUUUCUUUGUGGCUCUUUGUCUGUUAAACUGCUACCAUGGUCUGGAUACUGAGGCUUAUUAGCUGUUGAGUUUAAUUAAAAAAAGGCCAUUCAUAUGAAAAUGGGAGUCUGAUAGCAAUUGCUGUCCCCAGCAGCUUCCUCCUGUUACUUUUAAUUAGACACCCACUUGAUUGACAUCAAGCCCACUGGCUGGCUGAAGCCGAGUGUGCGUUUCUGGAAGUGUGCUAGAGAGUGCGCUCCUCCCGGCAGUGUCUGUGUAGGUGUGCAGGCAUUUUCUGAACAUACACACAAAGCGCCGGCUCCGAGGUCAUUAAAGCUCUGCGGCGGGAGACCGUACAUCAAAGUUCACUUUGUCGUCAUGAGCAGGAAAAGGACACCGCAGAGGAUUUGUGUCAGAGCGGUUUCACAGCGAACACACAUACGCCUGACACCAGCAGCACUGGCAAUCUGGACAGCGAGAAGGAGAUAAGUCUUUCUGUUCAUCUAACUUGUAUAAAGUGAUUAUGGACAUACUGAGCCCUCCAUAUUUAGACUUCUUGACGCCCCCUUCCUCAGUCGCCCCCUGGUCCGACUCUUGUAAUCUAAUUUUCCGCUGACAGAGGCCAUGGAGAUCCUUGGGUCACGGUGCGAGUCCCUCCAGUCCACCACCCCUCCCUCUCAUCCUUCCCAGUGCCCUCACGCUGUAACUAAGAAGUCGCCAUGCAGCAGACAGUGCACAUUAGAUCUGUCUACCAAUACGCCGGCUAACCCACCCAGUCCAUAGCCCUGCGCUGCCUCAGUAAUCAGAAAGAGAGAUUAGAGAAGGAGGCGGCAGAAAGGAAUUGCAUUUGUCCUCGUAUCCGCUUUUUGUUAUUCCUAUCAUUGCUCAGCACCUUACAAUACCUGUCAGGGUGAAAGAUGAACUGUAUAUUGCAUAUAAUUUUAAACCUGUCGGAGAUCAUUUAGGAGGAUAAAAGGGGGGAGGAAGAAAGUGCGGAGGGCGCCUGCAGUGUUAGAGCUGAGAGAGGAGGCCACACCUGGAGGGGUCACGCUCCUUGUUGACCUUUGGUGUGUCGCCGACCUGACUCUCCUUCAGUUUCGCUACACAUCACUCUGCCUGUCAACACUUGCAUGUGGACUCCACUGCUACUGUUAUCUGCAGUACGUCAAAUGCCAGAGGGACAGUUUUGUCAAUGGAGAACAGUUGGGCUCUUUAACUCGAUUCGCCCGUUGAGGGAUUUUUCCCAAUUCUUUGACUGUCACAGUAAAAUGCUGUUGUCAAUACAUGGCAUUCGCAAACGCAGGAAAUGUUAAUUUGAGUUGUGUUAACCUGAUAUAGACUUUAGCAUUUCAGACUGGUUCCUUUUUUUCUAGUUUCUGUUUUCACUGAGUAUUAUUUUUUUCAGAUUUUUAUGUUGAUGUUGAUUUUAUUUUCAUUCAUCAACUUACUGUAGUAUUGUAGUCCUCUCACUCCCUUUCUCUCUCUCUCUUUAUAUCGUGCGCCCUCUUCCUCCCUCUCUCCUCCAGGCCAUAGCAUAGCCAGUAGCUGAUAGGCAUCUCCUCUGGAGUCUGCUGUAGUCUGCCCUGGCAUCAGACAAAGUGCCUCCAUCAGACCAGUGAGGCUCCCUGGGAACCCAGCAGCAGCAGACCCCCUGGCCCCAUCACCAGUGUGUGCGUGUGUGUUUGCGCGCGCCUGCGUGUCCCUGUAUGUGCGCUAGCCUGUGUGCAUACAUAUAUUACAAUAUGUUGUAUAUAAGCGUUUGUCUUUGUGUGUGUGUGUUGGAUGACAAGGGCUAAGACUGGGACCUUUGUGUUCCAGUCCCUGCCCUCUGUUAUAAAUGGGUUUUGUAAAUUGGGAGAUGGGGAGAUGUGUGUAGUGUCCAGCAUGAAUGUAGCAGUGCGCCAUACUGUUCAUCUGACUAUUCAUCAUAUGUGUUCGUAUUCGUGCGGUUGUGUUGUAGUUCCACGUGAAGGAGCGAUACUAAGACGGACUGUUUCUCAAACCCUGAGAUACCGUGGCUCACUUGUACAGUACACACACACACACAUACGUACAAACACACAGUCAUGCUCCCACUUCAAAUCUGCGUUUGGCAUCAGGGAUCACUUGGGAACGCUUGACUUUUUGACUUUCAUCAUAACUAGAAAGAGAGGGACCAAAUGGACAAAACCAAGAGCCAAAGGAGGAAAUAGGAAGAAGUGCUUUUAUCAGGGGCCCAGUGUUCAGCGCCUGACACACACAUGUACAUGCAGACAGACAGACACACACACACACACACACACACAAAUAUCUGACCCCCAAGUAACCCCUAUAACUUUCCAACAUUUAAGAAUGCAGUCAAGGAGCCUAUUCCCAUUGGAGUUUGUUCUACGUGCGUGCGUGUGUGCGUGUGCAUUCCUCCUGCGCUAUCGGCACAAUCAUUUGACAAGAAUUAUAUAAUUGCAGCCUGUGAUCUCAUUUUCCUCAAAGAGCAUUUUGAAGUUUCCUUUCCUCUUUUGCUCUUUUUGUUUCCUCUGUCUCCCGCUUGUUUAAACGUUAAAAUGACUCACACUAAACCACCCGGGUCUCCCCCGCUCCCUGAUGCCUUUCUGCAACACAUUACCUCUCCGCUCACUGUUAGUGGAAACUUCUACAGGUUCAGAGGGUCUGUUUGAAUCAGAGUAUUUUUAUAAUGCUGGUCUGCUUAUGUUUGUAUAAAUUUAAAACAUGGUGUUCCGGAAGAAAAAGCCCUCACCUCUUAUUGGUCGGCAUCAAUAAAGAAAAGUAGAAACAGA